UGGGGAAUUUUGGACAAUGGGCGAAAGCCUGAUCCAGCAAUGCCGCGUGUGUGAAGAAGGCCUUCGGGUUGUAAAGCACUUUUGUCCGGAAAGAAAUCCUUGGCUCUAAUACAGUCGGGGGAUGACGGUACCGGAAGAAUAAGCACCGGCUAACUACGUGCCAGCAGCCGCGGUAAUACGUAGGGUGCAAGCGUUAAUCGGAAUUACUGGGCGUAAAGCGUGCGCAGGCGGUUUGCUAAGACCGAUGUGAAAUCCCCGGGCUCAACCUGGGAACUGCAUUGGUGACUGGCAGGCUAGAGUAUGGCAGAGGGGGGUAGAAUUCCACGUGUAGCAGUGAAAUGCGUAGAGAUGUGGAGGAAUACCGAUGGCGAAGGCAGCCCCCUGGGCCAAUACUGACGCUCGUGCACGAAAGCGUGGGGAGCAAACAGGAUUAGAUACCCUGGUAGUCCACGCCCUAAACGAUGUCAACUAGUUGUGGGGAUUCAUUUCCUAGUAACGUAGCUAACGCGUGAAGUUGACCGCCUGGGGAGUACGGUCGCAAGAUUAAAACUCAAAGGAAUUGACGGGGUCAUAGCUGUUUCC
rnacentral:rRNA from 1 species